rnacentral:lncRNA from 1 species
CAAACAUCCAGAUUAAUGUUUGACCAACUAUCUGGAUGCUGUGGACUGGCCAAGUUGGUACAUAAAAUUAACUGCUCUGGCCUCACAAGAUUAAAACUUGGUAAGAAAGUAGACACGGAAGUGUGUCUCUGUCCAGUUCCACCUAAACUGUGCUGGCAGAAACUUUGGCUCCUGCUGCUUAGCUCCUUCAGCGACCUGCGAGUCUGUCUCACGAAAAGAUACCGACCGCCAUCUUGAAUUUCUAAGCACUAAACACGAAGAGAUGUGAGUUUCUCAAAAGAUGCUUCAGACCCUCUGAGCCCCUUUGUCUGCGUGGAACGGGUCUCUAGUCGCGGGUGGACAAAGCGUAGGAUGAGUGACAAACAGACGCACACAGGAGAGGUCGAGGAAUCUGAAUGUCAUUUUUCAAAUCGAGCAUCAGACUUUUUAUGCAGAAGACAAUAAGGAAGUUGGAUGACAUACCUGCAAGCUUUCCCAGAUAUCUCUGAAGAUACCAUUUUGAAUAGGACUCACAUCACUCACUGCCUUGUUCUAGGAUGGAUUUACCAGCUCUUCUUCUCUCCUGAAGACUGUUGUCCUGCCUAUGCCCAGACCCAUCUACAUCAGAUCUGAGGAGUGAGUCUUCUAAACUAUGAAGGACAUAUUAUAAUAUUCAAUAAACAAUCUGUGGCCUCCAUAUGCACAGAAUGUGAUGCUGGGCAAACAGAGAGCUCUGAGCAAAAGUUCUAAGAAAGAAAGUCUUCUAAUGGAAGCAUCUGCAAGCCUGAUGAACUAAUUUGAACCUCAGUGACCAUGAAGAGUUUGGAAUGUUACAGGUCCAGGGUCUAUUUACAAUUCAUCUUGGGUUAUCUUUAGCUCUCUAAGUAGCCAUUCUUUCCUUAUAUUUGUGUGAACCUAACAUUCUGUGCCUAACAGAUUAAGAAGUCUUUUGGAAUGUAGUAAAUCUGUGGCUUCCACUAAUUGAAAGACUGAGUGUCAUCAGGUAGUACCUGAGCCCUACAGUCAAUACUUCUCUGCAUGUUUUCACUAAUGUACCUGAAAACUGCUUUGAUCUUUUUAGUUUCUUUGUUCUGUUACUAUAAACUAAUUCCACAUUGGAACAUGGAAUUUGACACUACACCCGUGUUCCCAGGCUAUGGUCGCUCUUAUUUGGCUCUGGAAUAAAUUGAAAUGAGAUGUGUGCUUCUGCCUCAACAUUAAAUUUUCUGGUGAUAACCAUUACCCAAAGUGGUUCACAGAAGGUUUUAUCUUGGCUGGGCAAAUCACAGUGGUGGGGGAGACAUGUCAAGGGAGACUGGAGAAGGAAGCUGAGAGAUCCCAUCUUCAACCACAUGUAGAAAGCAGAGUGUAAGGCCUGGAAGUGGGGCCAGGCUAUAAACCCCCAAAGCCCAUCCACAGUUCUGCAAGGAAAGCUUCCAUCCAUGACCUUGCCAGACAAUGCUGGUCGCUGGGGACUGAUGGUGAAGUCCAUGAGUCAGUGAGGGAACAUUUCUUGUUCAAACCAUCACACCAUAUAAAUUUGAGAGACAG